ACGAACGCUGGCGGCAUGCCUAACACAUGCAAGUCGAACGAGACCUUCGGGUCUAGUGGCGCACGGGUGCGUAACGCGUGGGAACCUGCCCUUAGGUUCGGAAUAACUCCCCGAAAGGGGUGCUAAUACCGGAUAAUGUCUUCGGACCAAAGAUUUAUCGCCUUUGGAUGGGCCCGCGUUGGAUUAGCUAGUUGGUAGGGGAAAAGCCUACCAAGGCGACGAUCCAUAGCUGGUCUGAGAGGAUGAUCAGCCACACUGGGACUGAGACACGGCCCAGACUCCUACGGGAGGCAGCAGUGGGGAAUAUUGGACAAUGGGCGAAAGCCUGAUCCAGCAAUGCCGCGUGAGUGAUGAAGGCCUUAGGGUUGUAAAGCUCUUUUACCCGGGAUGAUAAUGACAGUACCGGGAGAAUAAGCUCCGGCUAACUCCGUG
rnacentral:rRNA from 1 species